CCAGCCAAUUUACUCUUAAUUCUCCAUCACUUGCAUCUUAUUCCCUAUUUUAUUAUCCUCGUGUAGUGUAUAUUUGUGCCACCUAUUUAAAUCCUCUUGGGAAGGAGACAGGAAAUAAAUACCUGCUUAGUUACAAAUACAUGAGGAUGUACACCAUAUAGGUAGCAUGCGGGCCAGGGAAGAGAAGUUAUCAAGAGAGACCAAGAAGAGGGCAUUGGAGAAACAGACAUAGUGGUAAAGAGAUAGGUCACAGAAGCCAAGAGGAGAGAGCAUUAGAAAGAGGGAGCAGCUGGCUGGCAGCAUGUCACAUGUUGCCGAGAGGUUAAAUUGGAUGAAGACUAAAAAAAGGCCAUGGGAUUGAGCGAUGAGAAGGUCGCCAGGGACCACAAGGACACUUCAUUGCCCUGUUGAAUCAGACACAAAUGGAAGAUGAGGAAGUGGAGGCAGCAAGGACAGAAACACAAGUUCGAGAAAUUUGCAAGCAGGAAGGAAAAAAAACCGUGGGUUAAAUGAGGGGAGGAAGCAUUUAUUUUCUUGUUUUGUCUUGUAGUUUUUAGGGAGUGGAUGCAAAUGCAGAUGAGAAGGUAAGCUUCAACAGGACGCCACCACCGCCAGGAGGAAGCAUGAAGAAAGUGGUAAACUCAGAGGUGGAACAAAACCUUUGGCAGUGGAGAUAUCCGCCAUGGAGAGGGGCUGGGUUCUCUCUGAUUGAUGGAUAAUUCCUGUUCUGCCUACUCUACAAUCGUGCUUCCAUUUCCAUUCCAAAGAUGAACUCAAAGAAACUUGUAUCCGAAAAAAAGGAUUAAAAAGUAG
rnacentral:lncRNA from 1 species